GAGUUUGAUCAUGGCUCAGGACGAACGCUGGCGGCGUGCUUAACACAUGCAAGUCGAACGGGAAACAUUUUAUUGAAGCUUCGGCAGAUUUAGUUUGUUUCUAGUGGCGGACGGGUGAGUAACGCGUGGGUAACCUGCCUCACACUGGGGGAUAACAGUCAGAAAUGACUGCUAAUACCGCAUAAGCGCACGGAACCGCAUGGUUCUGUGUGAAAAACUCCGGUGGUAUAAGAUGGACCCGCGUUGGAUUAGCUUGUUGGUGGGUAACGGCUCACCAAGGCGACGAUCCAUAGCCGGCCUGAGAGGGUGAACGGCCACAUUGGGACUGAGACACGGCCCAGACUCCUACGGGAGGCAGCAGUGGGGAAUAUUGCACAAUGGGGGAAACCCUGAUGCAGCGACGCCGCGUGAAGGAAGAAGUAUCUCGGUAUGUAAACUUCUAAUCAGCA
rnacentral:rRNA from 1 species